GCUUUGUGGUCGAGUGGUAAAACACUUGCCUCCCACCCUGGAUUCCUGGGUUCAAUCCCCGAUCGAGGAGCA